rnacentral:rRNA from 1 species
AGUGAACGCUGGCGGUAGGCCUAACACAUGCAAGUCGAACGGCAGCACAGUAAGAGCUUGCUCUUAUGGGUGGCGAGUGGCGGACGGGUGAGGAAUACAUCGGAAUCUACUUUUUCGUGGGGGAUAACGUAGGGAAACUUACGCUAAUACCGCAUACGACCUUCGGGUGAAAGCAGGGGAUCUUCGGACCUUGCGCGAUUGAAUGAGCCGAUGUCGGAUUAGCUAGUUGGCGGGGUAAAGGCCCACCAAG